rnacentral:rRNA from 1 species
CGGCACCUCAAGUGGUCAGGAUGAUUAUUGGGCCUAAAGCAUCCGUAGCCGGCUCUGUAAGUUUUCGGUUAAAUCUGUAUGCUCAACAUACAGGCUGCCGGGAAUACUGCAGAGCUAGGGAGUGGGAGAGGUAGACGGUACUCGGUAGGAAGGGGUAAAAUCCUUUGAUCUAUUGAUGACCACCUGUGGCGAAGGCGGUCUACCAGAACACGUCCGACGGUGAGGGAUGAAAGCUGGGGGAGCAAACCGGAUUAGAUACCCGAGUAGUCC